GAUGAACGCUAGCGGCAGGCUUAAUACAUGCAAGUCAAGGGGGUAGCAAUACAACCGGCGCACGGGUGAGUAACACGUACACAACAUACCAUAUACUGAGGUAUAGCUUCGGGAAACUGAAGGUAAUCCCUCAUAGUAUUGUGAAAGGGCAUCUUUUACAAUUAAAGUUUCGACGGUAUAUGAUUGGUGUGCGUUUGAUUAGCUAGUUGGUAGGGUAACGGCCUACCAAGGCAACGAUCAAUAGCUGGCGUGAGAGCGCGACCAGCCACACUGGAACUGAGACACGGUCCAGACUCCUACGGGAGGCAGCAGUAGGGAAUAUUGGACAAUGGGCGAAAGCCUGAUCCAGCCAUGCCGCGUGAUAGAUGAAGGCCCUCUGGGUUGUAAAUAUCUUUUAUCUGGGAAGAAACACUUCUAUUCUUAGAAGCUUGACGGUACCAGAGGAAUAAGCACCGGCUAACUCCGUG
rnacentral:rRNA from 1 species